rnacentral:rRNA from 1 species
AUGCAAGUCGAACGAUGAUUAUCUAGCUUGCUAGAUAUGAUUAGUGGCGGACGGGUGAGUAACAUUUAGGAAUCUGCCUAGUAGUGGGGGAUAGCUCGGGGAAACUCGAAUUAAUACCGCAUACGACCUACGGGUGAAAGGGGGCGCAAGCUCUUGCUAUUAGAUGAGCCUAAAUCAGAUUAGCUAGUUGGUGGGGUAAAGGCCCACCAAGGCGACGAUCUGUAACUGGUUUGAGAGGAUGAUCAGUCACACCGGAACUGAGACACGGUCCGGACUCCUACGGGAGGCAGCAGUGGGGAAUAUUGGACAAUGGGGGCAACCCUGAUCCAGCCAUGCCGCGUGUGUGAAGAAGGCCUUUUGGUUGUAAAGCACUUUAAGCAGGGAGGAGAGGCUAAUGGUUAAUACCCAUUAGAUUAGACGUUACCUGCAGAAUAAGCACCGGCUAACUCUGUGCCAGCAGCCGCGGUAAUACAGAGGGUGCGAGCGUUAAUCGGAAUUACUGGGCGUAAAGCGAGUGUAGGUGGCUCAUUAAGUCACAUGUGAAAUCCCCGGGCUUAACCUGGGAACUGCAUGUGAUACUGGUGGUGCUAGAAUAUGUGAGAGGGAAGUAGAAUUCCAGGUGUAGCGGUGAAAUGCGUAGAGAUCUGGAGGAAUACCGAUGGCGAAGGCAGCUUCCUGGCAUAAUAUUGACACUGAGAUUCGAAAGCGUGGGUAGCAAACAGGAUUAGAUACCCUGGUAGUCCACGCCGUAAACGAUGUCUACUAGCCGUUGGGGUCCUUGAGACUUUAGUGGCGCAGUUAACGCGAUAAGUAGACCGCCUGGGGAGUACGGCCGCAAGGUUAAAACUCAAAUGAAUUGACGGGGGCCCGCACAAGCGGUGGAGCAUGUGGUUUAAUUCGAUGCAACGCGAAGAACCUUACCUGGUCUUGACAUAGUGAGAAUCCUGCAGAGAUGCGGGAGUGCCUUCGGGAAUUCACAUACAGGUGCUGCAUGGCUGUCGUCAGCUCGUGUCGUGAGAUGUUGGGUUAAGUCCCGCAACGAGCGCAACCCUUUUCCUUAUUUGCCAGCGGGUUAAGCCGGGAACUUUAAGGAUACUGCCAGUGACAAACUGGAGGAAGGCGGGGACGACGUCAAGUCAUCAUGGCCCUUACGACCAGGGCUACACACGUGCUACAAUGGUAGGUACAGAGGGUUGCUACACAGCGAUGUGAUGCUAAUCUCAAAAAGCCUAUCGUAGUCCGGAUUGGAGUCUGCAACUCGACUCCAUGAAGUCGGAAUCGCUAGUAAUCRCAGAUCAGAAUGCUGCGGUGAAUACGUUCCCGGGCC